rnacentral:tRNA from 1 species
ACCGCGCCGGGCCGGAUGACCCGCCCGCUGAUGGCUGGCGAGACGGUGCUCACCUCGUAGCUGCGUGGCCGAUCGUACCGGUCGGUGUGGUG